rnacentral:misc_RNA from 1 species
GAAUCAGCUAUUCUUAAACGCCGAUGGGCUCAAAUUCUUAUGGAGAAUGCGGAUUUGGCAAUUUACCAAGCUAAAAUGGCACUCACAAUUGCCGAAGGUGCCCACAUAGCCAAUUCAACGGAUAUGGCUGUCCAAGACUUCUUUGAUUGACGGGCAUGGUUAUAUAUAAUACUUCUUGAGAUGGCCAGUUAUUAUUACCGGAAGGAUGAUGGCCUCACAGAUGUUUUUGAAGCCUGGAGGACAACCGUUGCAGAAAGUAUUGUAAUUUUGU